AGCGAGUCCCGCCUCCUCCACCCUCAGUCUGGUGUUUGCCAGUGGAGCGAAGGGUUGAGGCUUUCGUUCUCUUGUGUGCUACCGGUGUUUGGUGCUGUAAUCACCACCACUGCUGUCACCACCCGUCACCACCGCGACCACCACCGCCACCAUGGGCACCACCCCUAUGGUGUCGCCUAUACGCAUGCUGCCCCUACUUCUCGUCGCUCUCGCCAUACGCUCAGUGUUGCAGAAGUAUGUAAGUGAAGUGUCUACCUUGUGUCUUGUCAUCCAUGUGGCCACUGUGUUGAUUGCGUCACUGCCUGAGUGUCUGCGCUGCCUCAUUUUCACAUGCACACUACCACUGCAAGAGUCACGUGUACUACUACUGUUAUUAUGGGUGGCAUUUGGUAGACAGUCCCUUCCUCUACCACGUGAUGUGCUUCAGUGGCAUCUUGCUGUGGCUUCAUGCGCUCUGCUCGCUCCCUAGGCUUAGUGGUCGAAGCAUCAACGCGUCACACCACCCCACAUGGCCUGCACUCACUGUUGUGGGCUUUGCAACACGUCAAUAAGAUGAUUGGUAGAUUGUUGUCAGAGAGAGAGAGAGAGAGAGAGAGAGAGAGAGAGAGAGAGAGAGAGAGAGAGAGAGAGAGAGAGAGAAUAAAGUUGAAUGCAGGCUUUAAGUGUGUUUAAUUACUUACUCACGUUGACCACUAAUGAGUAGUAAAUGACAAAAUUAAAAUAUAGUUUUUCUACCACCAUCAUCACCACCACCACUGAUCUACUACCGGUAAUACCACCACCACCACUACUACCACCACAAAUCUACCACAACAACAACUACGACUACGACUACUACUACUACUACUACCACCAGCACAGUGACGGUUGGUGUAUUGUGAGGAUCCGCUGCAUUGAGGCCUCGUAAUGGGGAUGAUGAUGCAUGCCGGGCCAUCCGUCACCAGCUUGGCAGGGGCGCUAGUGGCAGGCAGCCCGCCGAUUAUCUGUCAGGGGAGGUGUGCCGUGAGAACCUGUCAGGGAAUUACAGGAGUGUCAAAUGGUGUUUUACAUGAGCUGUAAGAAUAAUAAUGACAACAACAAUAAGAAUACGAAUAAUAAUAAUAAUAAUAAUAAUAAUAAUAAUAAUAAUAAUAUUAAUAAUAAUGUUUUAUUUUUUCAUGUGUAUCUUCAGUAAAUCGCUUUGCAUAAUUUAAGUAAUAAUAUUCAGUGUCUUUCAGUGUCCCAUAAAUAUUUGUAACGAGGCUCAGGUUGCGUUGCGUGGAGGCGUUAUUGCUACAAACCGGGCCAUGAUAAUGUUAACAGCCAAUCCUUCACUCAAUGUGUGUGGUAGUUCGCUGUGUCUGUCAGUGCCCCAUAAAUGCCUGUAAUGCUUGGCUCAGGCUAGCCUGGAGUGGCGCAGCGUGGUGGUGGUGUUCUUACAGAGGAGUCAGAGUAAUGCCAAUCUCAGUAACAUCUAUGUAAUGGUAUCCCGUGCCUUUCAGUAGCCCAUAAUGCCUGUAGUGCUUGGCUCUUUGAGGCGGCGCAGCGUGGCGGCGGUGUUCUUACAAAGGGCGUGACGGUAACGCCAUCCAGCACGGGGCUGUGUUUACAUGGGCAAGACCCGCCGACCUCUGGGCAGCUGGCCUGGAACAGAGGUGAGCUGCGGCCUCGGUGUGACCAGCCCGGGUGAUGUAGAGAGUGUAGUUGGAUGCUAAGUGGCAUCACGGCUUUAAACGUGCAGGAGACAGGAGAGUGGAGUGUUUGUACAGCGUCUUGCUCCGCCCUCCCUCCCCGCCACGGUGCUGCAUGGAGGCGGCGGCGAUGCGCCCUGCAUGGGGAGGGACGGGUGAUGCACGCCGCGGCAUUGCCCAGCCUCCCCGCGCCCACCGUGCUGCCACGGCCUGUGGCAAGGGAAUAAAAAGAGGACAUUAGCAGCAGCUGGAAUGUAACUGCAACUCUUCGGGCGUCGGACUGCCCCGCUCGGCUCUCCCUCUCCUCUCCUGCCUCGCCUCCCUCUCCCAUCCAGACUCGCGUGAAUGAGAUGCCAAAAGUUUCCAGCCCGGUAGAUUAUUUCAAUACUUCGCCAUACGCUUUUCCUCGCCGCAUGGCUUUGUUUGGCCGUCGCGGGGUGCACGGCCUGGACCCCGUGGCGUAGGCGUGCCCCACGUGCACCUCGGGGCCUCGGACAGCACGUGGUAAUGGCUGAGAUGUGUAUCGGGAAGGCGUGCAACCUGUCCUGUGCACCAAUCGAUCUGAAGGUAACGCCGGUCAUUUUUGCAUAUAUUUACGUUUUUUCCCGUAG